rnacentral:RNase_P_RNA from 1 species
UCUUUGUAUUGGGUAGUUGCGCCAAUUUUCGCAAGAAUUUUGGUGAGGAAAGUCCGAACACAGAGCCUUUUAAUAGGCAAGAGUAGUGGGUAAUUCCCACCUAGCGCAAGCUACGAGGUGCGAACAGAGACGAGUCUUUCGAUGUUAAAGUCGAAGGGGUGAAACGGCAAAAUCCUUAUUUCUGUGCAAGAUCGUGUUCCUAGCGCAAGCGAGGAAAGAAUCGCUAGAGGUUGUGAGUAAUCACAGUCCCAGACAAAUAACUGCCCGUCCCAAUGUAAAGUUGGUUCGACAGAAUUCGGCUUAUAGAUAUAAAGAGACG